UACGGAGGGAGCUAGCGUUGUUCGGAAUUACUGGGCGUAAAGCGCGCGUAGGCGGCUUUGUAAGUUAGAGGUGAAAGCCCGGGGCUCAACCCCGGAACUGCCUUUAAGACUGCAUCGCUUGAAUCCGGGAGAGGUGAGUGGAAUUCCGAGUGUAGAGGUGAAAUUCGUAGAUAUUCGGAAGAACACCAGUGGCGAAGGCGGCUCACUGGACCGGCAUUGACGCUGAGGUGCGGAAGCGUGGGGAGCAAACAGG
rnacentral:rRNA from 1 species